AGUCCCAGUUCGGAUUGAAGGCUGAAAUUCGCCUUCAUGAAGCCGGAAUUGCUAGUAAUGGCAGGUCAGCAUACUGCCGUGAAUACGUUCCCGGGCCUUGUACACACCGCCCGUCACACCAUGAGAGUUGGGAAUACCCGAAGUCCGUAGUCUAACCGCAAGGAGGGCGCGGCCGAAGGUGGGUUCGAUAAUUGGGGUGAAGUCGUAACAAGGUAGC
rnacentral:rRNA from 1 species